CCCUGGUAUUCUGGGAGAAAAAAAAAAAAAAAACCCACCUUGAAAUAUUAAUGUCUUGCAUAGACUGGCCUUGAAAUAUGCAUGAAAAUUAUACAAGGUACAAGAAAAAAACACGUAUUUCCAGAUAUUGGUUUCUUUCAUUUAAAAGACCAGUCUUUAUCUAGCAAGUAGAACAAGUAUCUAGCAAGAGCUAGACGUGUCCCUAGUAACUGGCAUUUUGGAGAGGGUUGACUGCUUGUAUCUUUGAACUCAUGCCUUCCAGCCACCAGAGAGCUUUCUCAUGCUUUCUCAGAUGUUAUGUAACAUAUAACACGCACUUAAAAUACCAGGUGGAGACAUUGCUUAGCAAGCACUAACCUAGUUGUGAAAGAGCAGUGGCUUUACUUACUUCAUCUGAGUAUAAUCCCUCAUUUGCUGUGAUGAUGUUUAAACCAUUCUGUUGAAUACUCAGUUGCCUAAUAAAAGUCACUGUCAGUCAGGAUAGUGGCUGGUAGUACCUUCUCCCAGCAUAAUGAGGAUAAUAUUCAUAUCUUAGAUGUGCACUCAAAACAAGAUUUACAAAAAGAUUAUCCUGAAUAUUUAGGAUAGGUUCUUCCCAGAAGUGAUGGAACAUCAGUAAUGAGAGUACAGCAUGUUUCUUACUCAUUCAAAGGCAUAUGGCUAUAUUAACCUCAAAAUGCCAUCCCAGUCGUUAUUAACUGGUAGCUUAUGAAUGUAACGGGGACAGACCAUUGAUAAAAUAGAUAUGUUUCUACUAAGGAGGUCUCCUCUAGGAGUGAGUCUGCACCAAAAAUAAAUAAAAAAAAAAAACAAGCAGUUUUCAAAUUACACCAGUGCAAGAAACAGUAUCUACAGUCCUCUUUGCACAACUGUCCUCCAUUCUCCAAGAUGAGAAAUCAAAAAGCAUAUUUCUGUUUUCUAAUCUAGUGGUUAGUUUAGAAAGGCAUACACUGACAGGAUAUAUGUGAAUUCAGCCCUUUUUUUGUUUAACUGAUCAGAUUUUUUCACCUGUUUAGCACCAUGAAUGGGACUGAUAUUGGUGUUUUAGGUGUCCCACAUUGAUUUUUCUCAGCUUCACUUGCUCUGGUUAAUGAUUAGUCCUCAUGUUUGGCCAAGUGUUACCACUGAUCAGGGUGGGUUAGCUAAGCAACCACAGCUGUCCAUCUGAGCUGUGGAAGAAGCUGUCCCCAGGAAUCUUCCGCCAGAGGCCCUGGUGUACCUGCAAGUGGGUCACUCACUGUUUUGUGAUGGGACUUGACCCUGGCAGGCUGCCAUUCUGCUGGGUCAGGCCCUGGCAAAGGUGAACUACAGAAUAUACCUCUGGUGCCCUUUUGUUGGUAACAACAAAUGUGGCAUGUAGCACUGCUUCCACUUGGCUGGCUGGUUUCAGUAGGGCUAUCGCUAAUGUGGGAGGAGGAGGUGGCUCAUGGGGUGGCAGAAGAAGGAUUAGGGGAGCUGGUAAGUACGUGCUUUGUUUGCUGCGGUUCCUUCCAGUGCCUAGCAGGUAAAUUUCUGCAAUGCUCAUGGGCUAGCAGGGGGAAGUGGAACAUGGAGUAUGGCUGUGUAAUGCUUAUUAUCAAGAAAAUCCCCACAAAUAUGGAAGCAAUUAUUUUCACUGUAGAUGAGAGCUGGCUGGUUGUGUGGCCACGACUGCAGCCUAGCAUUAAAUAUGCAGCAGUUACUGAACUGCAACUUACUGUGAAUGAUAUACCUCCCCAUUACCUUUCUUGUGUAGACAAGCCCAUAAAGGGGAAAAAGAAAAAAAAAAGAAAAAAGAAAAUAAAAAAAGGGGAGAAAAAGAAAAGGGGGAAAAAUGCUGAGCAGAGCAUGAAGUCUGUUUGAAUGCUUCAAAAAGGGUGGACUUCAAAGAUUUUAAUGUUUAAAUGUUUAGGUUUUUUUCUCUUACACUUCAAUCAAGAAAAAAUGACAUUAGGUUGUGGCAUAUGUAGGCAAUCUGAAGUUUCCUUGUAGAUGUCUUGAGACAGGCUGUACAAUGUGGUAUGAAAGUUUACCAUGAUUAGGUGUAAGUUACAGUCCUCUGUGUGUUAUUGUUUUUCAUCUGACAAGGAAAAGUGAAUAUUAAAAAAUACGUAUGUUUUGUUUUAUUUAAAUAAUUUCUUUGCAGACAGAGACAUCUCUUAGAUAAUUAAAAUUGCAUUAAUUUUAACUUACGGUCUGCUUAUGGGAAAUAUAUAUUUUUUAAAUUAUGCACCAUUAUGCUACAGCUGUACAUAGCGUUGUUUAUUCUGAAUGAGGAGAUACAAUUGUGACAGAAGAUUAAAAAAAAUAAUAAUAAGAAGAGAGAUUAUAUGAGUUUUCAGAGAAACCUUCUGGGUUUUUUUUCCUUUUUUGUAGAUAGUUCAGCAACAUCAUGAUGGUCAGGUGCUGGAAUGGGCUGCCCAGGGAGUCACUGAGUCGCUGUCCCUUGAGGUGUUCAAGAAACAUUUAGAUGUGGUACUAAGGAGCAUGGUUUACUAGGGAAAUAUUGGUGGUAGGUGGAUAGUUGGACUGGAUGAUCAUGGAGGUCUUUUCCAGUCUUGGUGAUUCUACAAUUAUACUGGUAUGUGAUAAAACUCACUAAAAUUCAGAAAGCUUAAGAUUGUGCUAGUGUUAAGGUUGGGCAUCUUUCUGAAAUGCUUCACUCUUGCUGAAUUUAAAUUUCUCUUUCUAGAAAUAACACUUAAAAUUGAGAACGGGAGCAAUUCUAUAUUUUUUUCCUCAUUGCAGCAUUUUGUACAUCGUCAAUUCCAGUGAUUCACUUAGUUACGUUUUCUUUCUUGUUUCUGGGUUGUUUUUUUGUUUGUUUGUUUUGUUUGUUUGUUUGGCUUUUUAAAAUUACAACUGCUAGCAUGCUUCUGGAAGUAAUAGAGAACACAUGUACUGUACCAACAUCAUUAUUAAUGCCAAAAAUUCAUAGAGGAACUCAAAAGCAAACAUGACAAUACAUACAUGUGGAAGCAAUUUUAUUCUACCUAACAGUUAUCUGGUUCUUACACUGACAUUUAAAGGAAUAGCCUGAAGGCGAUGAUACUGAUACUCCACUUAGCUCAUGUUGCUCCACACAGACUCAGCCAGUGUCUUUCCUAAGAAUGCCUAGGCAUAGAGGAAGAGGCUCAUCCACACAAGACUCACGGACUUAAAGAGGAGCCAAAAACCCUCAUCAGAAGAGUUAGUUCCCUCUAGCCAUGUUUGAAGUGGUGGGACUCCAGCUCAGAGAGGAUUGUACUGCCUAGCUGCUCCUGGAGGUCUGUGGAAAAGGGACAUGGCCACCACGUCCCAGGAGCUUGGCUGAGGCUGCCACCAUACUCAGAUUAAGCCUUCCAAGGCCUUUGGUCAACCAAUGGGAGUCUCAGAAGGCAUGAAAAGUAUUGACCAGUUUUCUAACCUAACAACUUCUCCAGUCCUAGAAGAAAAUGCUCCAGUCCUAGUUCUGGACUCCAGGGAAACUAGGAAAUGAAGUUGUGGCUUGGAGUCAGUCAUUAUUUAUGGCAUUUGGCACGUAAAACCCUGAUGAACCAGAAGCAAAAUGAAAGAAAGGAGAACUGUAAACAAGGUCUUUCAGUGCUAAUUUUAACUCCAGGAUGACAAAUAGAGGUAUAGCAAUACAACAACUACAGCAACUUCAAUCAUUUUCCUAUAUUUAGUACCUCAAAAUUCAAGUUGACAGGUAUGCCUCACCUAAAUUCUGAUGCGUGUCAUCUCCUGAUUUAUGAGUGCUUGGUUUUGCAGAACAAAUAAAAUUCUCCCCGUUACUUAAUGGUGCUGAAGAUAUUUCUUCUCUUACCUUUCGUUAUCUUCUUUUUCUGUUGCUACUCAUAUCUGUCACCAGUCAUGUCUUUAAAUCCUUCCAUAGAUAACCUGUUCUAUGACUUUCUCAAGCUUCUAUUUUAUGUCACAGUGUUUUUUCCCUUUGCUUUCUAUAUCAUUGGUGUACAAUCUUCAGAGUAUCAAGCAACUUACAGAGUGGCUUGAAAAGCUGAAUCACAUUGAACUCAAUGUCUGAGAGUCAGUAUUCUUUGCAACUGCUAAUAGCUUUGAGCAAGCCAGUUUAUUUUUCAGUGUUUCACUUUCUUCCCCUGAUUUCUAGUAAUGCAGAUAGAGUUCUCUUUUCUGAGUAAAAUGUAAUCUGGUAGAUAGCAAAUUGGGGUGGUAGCAGGAAAAGGGGAGAGCUUUCAUCAUAAGAAUAAAAUGGACCUAAAGGUUUUAUAAAUUAAAGGCCAAUUAUUCCCAGGAGUGCAUGGGGAGCCUUCCACAGCAAUCACUCUUGAGAAUCUGAAGGCAGAACAGGGCUUCGACCAUCUGUAUUUGGACUUUGUCAGGCCAUUUGUUUGUAACCGGAAUUGUAUUGUUGCUCUGGUUUUCAGUAAAGGGAUGUUCACUGAGGCAUCACAUUGAUAUUUUUGAAGUACGUUCCAUGUUUUCAAAGAAACAAAUUUAUCAGCAAUGAAUUGAAAUGUCUAGCUGUUUCCGUAUGCUGUAGAGAUUUCACAUCAUGCUGCUGUGCAUGUGCAUUCAUUUUUCACCUGCUGGAUGUAAUGGGAACAAGUUCAAUACAUGAAUGAAAGCAUGUUAACAAGGAAGUGAUUUGGCCAAACCAUGCUUCUUCCUCCUAACAGAUAAAAAAAGCCCUGAAAAAACAAAGGCUGAAGGCACAAGCUUGUUUUCAUUAAUCAUAAAUCAGAGACGAUCCCCAAAUAGUAUAGUAGGAGGCAAUGUUGACAGUAGACCUGUGGGAUUUUAACAAACUCGGCUCCUGUUCUUUGUUUUACCUAUAUCUAGGUUAACUACUGUCUGAAAGAGCUUUGUGGGAAAAUCUCAUCUUAUUAUCUUAAAUAAAAAGAGCUGACUAUUUGUGGAAAAACUCAUCAGGCUUUCAUUUUCAAGUCCUGUACAAGGCUGACCCUUUGUCUGAAGUAUUAAAAAUCCCACAGUGGAUGUAUAAAUUAUGGCCUAUAGUAAGGACUUUGGGACAUUCCACUGAGUAUGUUCACAAAAUUUGAGUAAGGCUGUUGUUCCAGAUGAUGCAUGUGGCUCACAAUCCUGAGAGCUGAAAAGCUCCCUGCAAGACCAAGAGGCCAACCAGACUGAUUCUUUGGACUUUGAACCUCCAAUGUUACCUGCUAAUAUGGCACAUAGAGCCAUGACUGAAAGUGCCUGGGUACUAUGAGGAACACCUAUACUUCUGGGACCAACAGACCUCAGUCUGCAUCAUGGUUGACAGGAUUGCAAUAUCUGGUAUAUUUUCUGCAGUAUUUCUCAGCAAAAAGAGCAAGGCUAGAGAUGAAAAUUCGAAAAACCUCUUAAUGGAGUAUUUUAAAGUCUAGGAUCACAGCUUUUGAGGUCCCUAGUACCAAUGAAACAACCAACUAGAUACUGGGGGUCAGAAGGAGAAAAGAGGAAGAGAGGGAAAGGAAACUACAUUGAAGGAAGGUGAUUCUGUUUGGAAAAAAUGUCUCAUACAGUUUGGCAACUCUUACCAUGCUGUUGCCAACUUGCAAGUUCAUAUGAGGUUUACAGCAAGUUACAGGAAGAAUAAAAUGUUAAUCAUGUGCAGAACCUUAGUUGUAUUCUCGCCAUCUAUUUCAACAACAGUAAUAGCAUACAGACUAAGAAGUGAUUACAGAAUGACAUAAGCUUCUUUUCCAUUUGAAUUUGAAAAUGUAUUUCCAUUUAAAGCUUAAUUUUUAUGUGCUUCAUCCAAAAUUAAGAAAACAAGAGGAUGUGAUUUCCAAGCACUAUAUAUAGGCUGGAUCUGGUGUCAAGUUUUUCUAACAGUUAUUAGCUGUGUUAAAAGCAGUGACUUUUAACACAGUAUCUAAAAAAAAAAACUUACCAGCAUUUUAUGGUGGCUUAAAAAAAAAUACAAAGGACAACAAGUUGAAACAUGGGGAAGAUCAGUGACAAAGGUACUUAGUCAACAAAAGACUUAACUGUAUGUUGCAGAUUGUAUCUUCUUACAAAAGCCUUUCAUUAAUGAACUAUGUGUUAGAAAGUCUGUUCAGCUGAUUAAACUUUUCUAUAUCUGAAAUUGUUUAUGAGUUAUAAUUACCUUCUUCAAAACCUUCUUUCUUCUUGUAACUGGCUACAGACUUGAAGAAAAGUAUUCG
ensembl:lncRNA